rnacentral:rRNA from 1 species
GAUGAACGCUGGCGGCGUGCCUAAUACAUGCAAGUCGAGCGAACGGACGAGAAGCUCGCUUCUCUGAUGUUAGCGGCGGACGGGUGAGUAACACGUGGAUAACCUACCUAUAAGACUGGGAUAAUUUCGGGAAACCGGAGCUAAUACUGGAUAAUAUUUUGUACCGCAUGGUUCAAAAGUUAAAGACGGUCUUGCUGAUACUUUUAGAUGGAUCCGCGCUGCAUUAGCUAGUUGGUAAGGUAACGGCUUACCAAGGCAACGAAGCAUAGCCGACCUGAGAGGGUGAUCAGCCACACUGGAACUGAGACACGGUCCAGACUCCUACGGGAGGCAGCAGUAGGGAAUCUUGCGCAAUGGGCGAAAGCCUGACGGAGCAACGCCGCGUGAGUGAUGAAGGUCUUCGGAUCGUAAAACUCUGUUAUUAGGGAAGAACAUAUGUGUAAGUAACUGUGGACAUCUUGACGGUACCUAAUCAGAAAGCCACGGCUAACUACGUG